AGUGAACGCUGGCGGUAGGCCUAACACAUGCAAGUCGAACGGCAGCACAGGAGAGCUUGCUCUCUGGGUGGCGAGUGGCGGACGGGUGAGGAAUACAUCGGAAUCUACCUUUUCGUGGGGGAUAACGUAGGGAAACUUACGCUAAUACCGCAUACGACCUACGGGUGAAAGUGGGGGACCGCAAGGCCUCACGCGAUUAGAUGAGCCGAUGUCCGAUUAGCUAGUUGGCGGGGUAAUGGCCCACCAAGGCGACGAUCGGUAGCUGGUCUGAGAGGAUGAUCAGCCACACUGGAACUGAGACACGGUCCAGACUCCUACGGGAGGCAGCAGUGGGGAAUAUUGGACAAUGGGCGCAAGCCUGAUCCAGCCAUACCGCGUGGGUGAAGAAGGCCUUCGGGUUGUAAAGCCCUUUUGUUGGGAAAGAAAUCCUGUCGAUUAAUACUCGGUGGGGAUGACGGUACCCAAAGAAUAAGCACCGGCUAACUUCGUGCCAGCCGCCGCAGUAAAAC
rnacentral:rRNA from 1 species